CCUACGGGUGGCAGCAGUGAGGAAUAUUGGUCAAUGGACGAGAGUCUGAACCAGCCAAGUAGCGUGAAGGAUGACUGCCCUAUGGGUUGUAAACUUCUUUUAUAUGGGAAUAAAAUGUUCCACGUGUGGGAUUUUGUAUGUACCAUAUGAAUAAGGAUCGGCUAACUCCGUGCCAGCAGCCGCGGUAAUACGGAGGAUCCGAGCGUUAUCCGGAUUUAUUGGGUUUAAAGGGAGCGUAGGUGGAUUGUUAAGUCAGUUGUGAAAGUUUGCGGCUCAACCGUAAAAUUGCAGUUGAAACUGGCAGUCUUGAGUACAGUAGAGGUGGGCGGAAUUCGUGGUGUAGCGGUGAAAUGCUUAGAUAUCACGAAGAACUCCGAUUGCGAAGGCAGUUCACUGGACUGCAACUGACACUGAGGCUCGAAAGUGUGGGUAUCAAACAGGAGUAGAUACCCCUGUAGUA
rnacentral:rRNA from 1 species